rnacentral:ncRNA from 1 species
CCAUCGAGAUUAUUUACUGUUAACAUGAAAGCCAUUUUUACUUACACUUAAGUGAAAUGUAAAAUCUGACUAUAUGCUGGAAACUCCGAGCAUCCAACAAUACCCCUUGGUAACAAUUUGUUGGUGCGGAUUAUCAGCAGGGAAGGCCCCGAUUUAAUCGUGGAACCCUCAGAGACUAUAUGUCAGACCCCGCACGCUUCUGCGCUGUGGGGAAGAUAUAGUCCGAACUGUAUAGCGAUAUACAG